rnacentral:rRNA from 1 species
GAUGAACGCUGGCGGCGUGCCUAACACAUGCAAGUCGAACGAAGCACCUUACCUGAUUCUUCGGAUGAAAGUUUGGUGACUGAGUGGCGGACGGGUGAGUAACGCGUGGGUAACCUGCCCUGUACAGGGGGAUAACAGCUGGAAACGGCUGCUAAUACCGCAUAAGCGCACGAGGAGACAUCUCCUUGUGUGAAAAACUCCGGUGGUACAGGAUGGGCCCGCGUCUGAUUAGCUGGUUGGCAGGGUAACGGCCUACCAAGGCAACGAUCAGUAGCCGGUCUGAGAGGAUGAACGGCCACAUUGGAACUGAGACACGGUCCAAACUCCUACGGGAGGCAGCAGUGGGGAAUAUUGCACAAUGGGGGAAACCCUGAUGCAGCAACGCCGCGUGAGUGAAGAAGUAUUUCGGUAUGUAAAGCUCUAUAAGCAGGGAAGAUAAUGACGGUACCUGACUAAGAAGCGCCGGCUAAAUACGUG